AUGGCUCAGAUUGAACGCUGGCGGCAGGCUUAACACAUGCAAGUCGAGCGGGGAUAGGGUGCUUGCACCUGAUUCCUAGCGGCGGACGGGUGAGUAAUGCUUAGGAAUCUGCCUAUUAGUGGGGGACAACGUUCCGAAAGGGACGCUAAUACCGCAUACGCCUACGGGAGAAAGCAGGGGAUCUUCGGACCUUGCGCUAAUAGAUGAGCCUAAGUCGGAUUAGCUAGUUGGUGGGGUAAAGGCCUACCAAGGCGACGAUCUGUAGCGGGUCUGAGAGGAUGAUCCGCCACACUGGGGACUGAGACACGGCCCAGACUCCUACGGGAGGCAGCAGUGGGGAAUAUUGGACAAUGGGGGCAACCCUGAUCCAGCCAUGCCGCGUGUGUGAAGAAGGCCUUUUGGUUGUAAAGCACUUUAAGCGAGGAGGAGGCUUACCUGGUUAAUACCCGGGAUAAGUGGACGUUACUCGCAGAAUAAGCACCGGCUAACUCUGUGCCAGCCGCGGC
rnacentral:rRNA from 1 species